CUUCGUGUUCUUCAUAAUCAAACGAAGAUUUGAAGGUGUUAUUGGAAUCCGAUGGAGGCGUAUAAAUAGUCAAAACGAAGCUAUCGACGCGUAGAAUCAAGUUUAAUCAUCCGUUUAUAUGCAGAUUCAACAGGUGAUUUUAGAUUAUUUUUCUAAAAUUCGAGUUUAUAUGAUUUAAAUGAUGAAUUUUUGCAAACGAUUCCGUUUAUGUGAUUUGAUGAUUCUAUGAUGUAGAGCAUGUUUUUCUCGUCGUUUUGGUAUAUUAUAUGUCAAAAACGGAGUUCAAUAACAUGUAGAAAAGUCAGUUUGAUUAUUGAAAUUGUGUUCUUGGUGUUCUUGAGCUUGUUGCCGGAAAAGUUUGAAUUUUGGCCGGAAAAUGGGUUCCGCUAAAUCUGGGCAGUAGUGGUAUAUAUGAAUAGAAAGAGGAGAGAAAGGGGAGUAUGCUGGUGUGCUUGGUUUGAGCGGAGGUGGCUCGAAUCGCCGCCAUCGGCGGCGGGAAGUCGCCGACUUCGGCCGGAUUUUCCGGCGAAUUCGCGCGACUUCUGCCUAAUUAAAGAUGGGGGAUUGAUUUAUGGGUGUGUGUACUACUGAUCUGGAGUAGAUGGUGAGUGGAGGACGCCUGGAAACGAAAAUCCGGCAAGUUAGUGUGAUGGCCGGCGGCUUAUUGCUGUUUGGUCACCGAAGUUUUGAAGAUGAUGAAGUUUUUGUACUCAGGUUUUGAAACUUAUGAAUUACCCCCUGUAACUUUGAAAAGUUGCACUUUAAACCCUGGACAAAACUUUCAAAAGUUUACAAAAUAAACCUUUUGAUUUAAUUUUCUAAAAUUGUUUUAUUUAAUUAUUUUAAAUUCCAAAAAUAGUUUUUAAUUAUUUCUUUAUUCAAAAAUAAAUCUAAAUUAGUUUAUUAAUUAAUUUUAAUUAGUAAUUAAUUAUUUUAAUUGGUCAAUUAAUUUAAAUAUUAAUUGAUUAAUUAUUUUAAUUAAUUAUUAAUUGAUUUUAAUUGAUUAAUUAAUUGGAUUUAAUUAAUCCUUUUUGAUUUAAAAAUUCCGAAAAAUAGUUUCGAGCUUUAAAAUAUUUUUCCAAAUUAUUUUCAAGGCUCGAUAAUUGUUUAUGAAUGAUUUCAAGUCCAAUUUCAAGUAUUUGGGACUUGAUUAUUUAUUCGAAAAGUGAUUCUUUUAUCGAUUUUAAUUCCGAAAAAUGUUUAAAAAUUCUGGAAAAUUCCCGAAAAAUCAUUUUUAACCCAAGACUUGAUUUAAUAUCAAUUGGGAUGGGAAACCUUAUGUGUUGUGUGUUGUCUGCUAUUGGUUGGAUGUGUUAUGUGCCGAUAGGAGAGUGAGAAAACUGUUUUGAGCAUAACUUUUGAUCCGUAAGUCGGAAUCAAGUGAAACGAAAGAGAGACAGAAGCUUAUAACGUCUAUUUUAAUAUGAUGUGACUAUAUGGCUGAGUCUAUAAGGUGAAUAAUUGUUGAUAAGUAUGCAUAAUGUGAUAAUAUGUGAUCUAAGUGCUAUCAGGUGAUGAUUAUGUGAAGUACGUGUUAGUUUUGAUAUUGUGAAGUGAUAAAUGAUUCGUAUGAUUGAUAUUGGAUAAGAAUAUAUGGAUUAUAGCUAUUGGAUUUUGUUGGUUGAUUAAUGAUUGAGAUAGGAUAAUAGGUGGAUAGUCUUAUACAUAGACGAGACGAUGUCGGAUUUUCGAUAAGGAUUUAUAUGAUAAUUGAUUGGUGAUAUGUUAUGUGGAAUAUGAUUGACUAUAUGUUAGAGUCAAAGCAUGCUUAUGUGUUACGUGGUAUCUGAUAAGUUUAAAGGGAUAUAUAAGUGGGUAUCGAUAUACGUGAGAUGUAUAUGCGAUCGAUUGUUUAGUGAUUAUAGUGUUAUCUUAUUCUCGUAAAGGAUUUGGACGAGACGUGUAUGCCCGAAGACGUUCAGAAAGUCACGUGGUGUUACAAAGCGAAUAAGGGAUGAAUCGAGUAAGCGAAGCGAAGAUGUACGGUAGAUAGAGUAUAGCCAGAGAUGGUCUAGAGACUAUGAGAUGCAUAGAUUGUGAAAGUGGAAAGAUGAGAUUGAGAUGUGAGACUGGAGUCAGAUUUAAGGCAAGUAUCCUAAACCUUUCUCUUGGAUAUAUUGCAAAUAUUCUGAUCCAUUCCUUUGGUAUAUGUUUCAAGUAUUCAUACCUUUCUUUUCAAUGUUCGAAAGUGCGAGUAUUCUGACCCAUUCUUUCUAAUCUUCAAGUUUCUAAAGAAUUUCCGUUUUACAAAUUAAUUCGAAGUUCAGAUUGUCAUUGAAGCAUGUGUUGCUCAGUGAUAGUUAGAGCUUUGAAUGAAUUGGGAUCUUCUUGAUUAUUCAACCCGCCAUUGUCAUGCUGGUUUAGCAGGCUAAAUUCAGUUGCUUAGCCGAUAAUGGAGGAUACUGAAUAGUUGAGGAUUUCCUGAACUGUGAUUUAUGAAAUGAUGGAUCAUGAUUUAUGAAUAGAUUAUUAUCAAAGUUUGAAUUGGAAUUAUUCUGUUGUUGAUGAUAUUUAUGAUGAUGUUCUGUUAAUUUACAUUGGCUUCUUGAAUUGAAUUAGAGAAUUGGAUUAUUGUUUUUAUAUAAACCUGUGGACCAGAUUCGUGGUCAUGUUAGGCCAAUGAGUGCCUUGGAUCCAGUGAUAGAGCAUGGCGGGGCCUGCUCGGGGUUAGUGCGGAACUGAUCAGCUGCCUAACCUUGGUUUUAAUUAAAAUGUGAUAGUCCAAUUCAAUAAUUCUUUGGAAAGAUUGAAUUUCUCAGUUUAAAUGCUGCAAGGUAUUGUAAAUCAUUCUAUACAAUACCAUGAACUCAUGAACUCAGGUUGAAUCCUCUUAUAUCUUGAACUCGUGAACUUCUAUUAUAUCAUUUCAGAACUAUCAUUGUUUAUUAUUACUUGCUGAGCAUUGUUGCUCACCCUUGCUAUUCCUUUCUAACCAUUUCAGAAAGGCUUAAAGAUGAGAUGAUUGAUUGAGAUUGUGAGUAAGGCUAAUGCUAGGCGAGGAGACAGAGUUGAGGAUCCAGUGGUCGAGGAGUGUUCAGGAAAGUUGAUGAGGUUGGUGCAAGCUGGAAUAGUUGACAGUGAUUCUUCUUAUCGAAGAUGAUCUGAUUUGGUAAGAGAUGUUGUGUAAUAAUAGUGGUAGAUUCUAAUUUCAAUACUGUAACCUGGAUGCGAUCCUGUUGCUUUUAGGGGGUUUAAAUGUUCUCUUUCGAAUCAGUUAUUAAAGUUUAAAUGUUCUCUUGAAAUUCUCCUAUUAUGGCUUUCAAGUUUGAAAUUCAGGUUUUGAAAUCAUUCGAUUUAUGUUCUCAUUCAAAUCUUUUAUUAAAUGUUUUCAGGUUUUAAAUUCUCUGAUUUUUAUUAUCUUUUGAAAAAAAAAUACAGGUUUUCAAAAGUGUUUAAAAAUGGGUUUAUGUGGUGACGUCAGAAUCCAGGCCCCCGGAUUCUCGGACCGUCACAGUUGGUAUCAGAGCAACAGGUUAUAAGUAUUUGAAAUUAGAAUAUAGAUCAUAGUUAUAGGUUUUCUAGAGAAGAAUGUGGUGUAACCUCACAUAGAGGUAUGGUCGGACUAUUUAGGAAUAGUCUAGAGAUGUGAGUGAAGCAUAGAGUUUAGUUAGAUGAUCAAGUUAAGUGUGGAUAUUUAAAGAGAUUAGGAUUCUUAAGUUUAGACAUAUGAUUUCUAGUAUGUUGAUUAAUUGAGAUGGUGAAUUGUGGAAAAGGUCAGUAUUAGACCUAUAUAGAAGAGUUUGAUAGUGAAUGAUUGAGUUGAGAAUGGUGAAAAUGCAGAGUUCAGAGUAUUCUGACUAUACUGCAUAUUUGAAAUUGGAUUAUUGUAUUGAUUUGAGGAUGAUAUAAAUGCAUGGUUCAUAGUAUGUUGACCAUGUCAGAUAUUUGGAAGAUGUAUAUUGUUUUGAGUGAAGAUAUGAAGAGUAAGUGUAGAGUAUGAGUUGUAUUGGAUUAGAAGGAGAGAUUGGUAGAUAGAGGUUGAUAGGUGAGAAGUGAAUGAUAGAGAAUACGUGGAAUUGAGUCCAGUUAUUAGAGAUGAUGUCUACGAGUAAGUUAGAACGUUAGUCCUCGACGACAACGCUUCGAGCUAAUCGGGAUUUCAAAUGGCAUCAAGGUGGGCCCAUAACCCACAGGUUGAUGAUCCAGAUAAUCGACGAUAUGCUACGUGUUUUUGCUAUUUACUUCACAGAUAAUGGGGAUGAAGUGGAGGCCAAGACUUAUUACGAACGAUAACGUCUACUAUGAAUUUUACAAGGCUGCUACGAACGAACGUUAAUCAACUAUCAAGAACGUUGAAAAGAUGACAUAAAUCGAAUAAACGAUUUCGUAAAGUAGAGUGGGAAUUUGAGAAGACCUUGGCAAUACCUCUCUUCAACUAAAGGUUCUUUUGAUUGUUUUCUCAUCAGUGAGAUAUUAUCAUGAUAUCUUUUCUACAAAAGUUUUGAUAAAUGAGAUCUUCAAUUUCUCAAAUUCUAAGAUGACAUUGGUAUUGAUUAUUGGUAUGAGUUGGAAAGCAAAGAUGUGUGAUAAAGGUUUGUUGUGAAGAGAUAGUGAUGUUCCUUGAUAUUGUUUGACAUUUCUUGACAUUCCUUGAUACCCUUUCAUCUACCUUGAUAUCCCUUAGUGUUCUUUGAUAUUGUUGAUAUUCCUUGAUAUUCUCUGGUAUUCCUUAACAUUUCUUCAAUUUGAUUGGGAUGAACAACCCUAUUUAUAGGGGACACAAGGUAUACCUGUCUGUGUGAUAGGAGUUGGAUGGGACGCCAUCACUUGUGUGUGUUGUGAUUACAAGAAGGUUAACAACCUUUAGUAGUGUCUAAUAUGGACACGCAACAUUAAGUUCAUUUGAUCGUAUUGAUCUCCCAGUCACUCUUGUAUUCCAAUGUGACCUAUUUUGAAAACAUCUUGUUCCUCCGAAAUUCCCAAAGAUUGAUUCUUGGGAAAUGAAGUUUGCAAUUGUGAAGGCUUUGAUUCUCCUAUUUCUUUAACUUUGAAGGUAUGCCAAAGUUGAUUAAAGGCGGAUGAGCAUGUGAUAUUAUGAAGCGUGUACAAUGAUCUUAUAAAUGAUACGUUUUAGUUCUCAUCGCGGAUUCUGAGGACAGAAUCCUUAUAAGGGGGGUAGAAUGUAAUAUCCCAUAUUAUUAAAUUUAGAUUUGAUUAUUAUAAAUCUAUUUGUCUAAAUAUUAUUGUUGGCUUUAGUUGAAAAGUGAAUUGAUUAUGUGAAUAGUUUUAUAUGAUUAUACUUGUUCUGUGGAUUAAUAUGGAUUUUACAAAUAUUGCGUCCUCCUUCUUUCUCUGAUUCCGAGGACGGAAUCCCUAUAAGGAGGGUAGAUUGUAAUAACCCGGAUUUUAAAAAUAUUUUUAUUAAUAUUAUAAAUGAUUUUCUUAAAAAGAAAGGAAUAAGAUUUAAUAUUUUAUUCCAGUUUAAUGAGUUUUCAAAGUUUUAUAUUUAAACCCCGGGUUAUUGUGUUAUUGAUAAAUAAUUGUAUUUUCAAAACUGAUUUUCAUAUAUUGUUUUGAAAAUUCUGUAUGAAUAUUAUGUGAAUAUAUGUGUUAUGUGAUUAAGUGGUAUUGGUGAAUUUGUUUGUUAAUUAGUUAUGAUUAAUUAUUAAUAUUAUAUGAUUAAUAUAUGAAUUUUUGUGAAUUUUGUGUUAUCUAGUUUAUUGAGCUGAAUGCUCGUAUGUGUUCGUAUUCGCGAGAUUUCAAUUUCUAUAUGCUCAGGAGAAAAUAUAGUUUAUUUGGAUAUUUUCAUAUCGAUUUAUGGAAUGUUAGAUGAUUUUAUAAUCGAUUUACGGAUUUAAUUGCGUAUAUUUAUAUUUAUUUAUUAAUUAUUUGACUUCCGUAAAACCGUCCACUCGUAACGAGGUAGCAAAUUUUCUUCCCGGAAGUUUCAACAAAACUCACCUUUAGCCUAAUUUGAAUAUUCCGGACAUUUUUCGUGUUUUGACUUUUUCGAUCCGGAGUACGGUUUUCCCCGGAGUCGGUCCGGCGGAGUUUUUCGGGUAUUUUAAUUGUUGAUAAUUAUCCAGUUUGUCUCGAUAAACGUGAAACGAGAUAUUUUGAUUAUUAUAUUAAUUCUUAUCUUGUAAUAAUUGCAAUGGGACCCGCAGACCAAUAAUUGAGUUAAAAAGCCCCGUUUUGAUGAUUAUCUCGAAAACCGGUACCGAUUGGACCCCGCUUUAUUAAUAUAAAGCUAUUAAAUACGUAUUUUCAUGUCAUAAACGAUCCAAAGGGGUACCAAUUAUUUGUAAAUAUAAAUAGACCUUUCUAGAGCUUAUUUUCACCCGUAAAAUCAUUUCACCAGUUUCUCUGCACGAAUACCGAGAGAAACCGAGCGGUGUUCUUCGUGUUCUUCAUAAUCAAACGAAGAUUUGAAGGUGUUAUUGGAAUCCGAUGGAGGCGUAUGAAUAGUCAAAACGAAGCUAUCGACGCGUAGAAUCUAGUUUAAUCAUCCGUUUGUGUGCAGAUUCAACAGGUGAUUUUAGAUUAUUUUUAUAAAAUUCGAAUUAUUUGAUUUUAAAUGAUAAAUUUUCGUAACUGAUCUUGUUUGAUUGAUUUGAUGAUGCUAUGUUGUAGAGCGUGUUUUUCUCGUCGUUUUGGUAUAUUAUAUGUUGAAUUUGGAGUUCGGAAUCAUAUAGAAAGAGGGGUUUGAUUAUUUAGUGGUGUUCUUGAAGGAUUAUGAAUGUUUCCAAUUGAAAAUUGGGGGUUUUGAUUCUAGGAAAUCUGGGCAAAUACUGAUGAUUCCAUACUGUUUGUUAGCUCGUAUAGAAUCAUUUUUAGUAAUCGGUUUAUGUGGAGGAGUCGGGAAACGAGCUCGCCGGAUUUUUAAAGUCCGGCGAUGUUCUUCGUUUCGAUUCCAUUUUCCGGCUUGUAUAUUCAUCUAUUGGGAGUUUUGAUUUCAGAAACGAGUUCCUGGGAUGAUAUUUGAUAAAUCUGGAGUGUUUCGUUGAGUUCUGGGGUCGGUGGCAACACCGGCGACUCGCCGGCGGCGAGUCUGUGGGCGGCGACGGCGAAAAUGCCGUUUAGCCCCCAAACAUUUGGAGGUGGUAAAGAUUUUGGACUUUAGUUUCAUUUCUGGCAAAUUGACCCCUGAUAUUUUUAUAAGUUACACUUUACACCCUUGCCAGAAAGUUUUAAAAACUUACAAAAUAAACCUUUUGAUUUAAUUUUCUAAAAUUGUUUUAUUUAAUUAUUUUAAAUUCCAAAAAUAGUUUUUAAUUAUUUCUUUAUUCAAAAAUAAAUUUAAAUUAGUUUAUUAAUUAAUUUUAAUUAGUAAUUAAUUAUUUUAAUUGGUCAAUUAAUUUAAAUAUUAAUUGAUUAAUUAUUUUAAUUAAUUAUUAAUUGAUUUUAAUUGAUUAAUUAAUUGGAUUUAAUUAAUCCUUUUUGAUUUAAAAAUUCCGAAAAAUAGUUUCGAGCUUUAAAAUAUUUUUCCAAAUUAUCUUCAAGGCUCGAUAAUUGUUUAUGAAUGAUUUCAAGUCCAAUUUCAAGUAUUUGGGACUUGAUUAUUUAUCCGAAAAGUGAUUCUUUUAUCGAUUUUAAUUCCGAAAAAUGUUUAAAAAUUCCAGAAAAUUCCCGAAAAAUCAUUUUAACCCAAGACUUGAUUUAAUAUCAAUUGGGAUGGGAAACCUUAUGUGUUGUGUGUUGUCUGCUAUUGGUUGGAUGUGUUAUGUGCCGAUAGGAGAGUGAGGGAACUGUUUUGAGCAUAACUUUUGAUCCGUAAGUCGGAAUCAAGUGAAACGAAAGAGAGACAGAAGCUUAUAAAGUCUAGUUUGAUAUGACAUAAUAAUAUGAUGGAGUCGAGAAUGUGAAUAAUUGUUGUUAAAUGUGCAGAAUGUGAUUAUAUGUUAUUUGAUUGCUAUUAAUUGAUGAUUACGUGAUAUACAUGUUUAUUCAUGAUAGUAUACACGUGUGAUAAAAGAUUUGGAUGACAUAGUGUCGUGAGUUGAUUGAUAUUGGAUAAGAAUAUAUGGAUUAUAGUAAUUGGAUCUUGUUGGUUGAUUGUUGAUUGAGAUAGGAUAACAGGUGGAUAGUCUAAUAAAUAGACGAGACGAUGUCGGAUUUUCGAUAGGAUUCAUAUGAUAAGUGAUUGGUAAUAUGUUAUGUGGAAUAUGACUUGACUAUAUGGUAGAGUCAAAGCAUGAUUACGUGUUAAGUGAUAUGUGAUAAGUUUAAAGGGGUAUAUAAGUGGGUAUCGAUAUACGUGAUAUGUAUAUGCGAUAUAUUGUUUAGUGACUAUAGUAUUAUCUUAUUCUCGUAAAGGAUUUGGACGAGACGUGUACGCUCGAAGACGUCAGAAAGUCGGAAUGGUAUUGCAAAGCGAAUAAGGGAUGAAUCGAGUAAGCGAAGCGAUGUGGCGAAUAGAGUAUAGCUAGAGAUGGUCUAGAGAUUACGAGAUGCAUAGAUUGUGAAAGUUGAAAGAUGAGAAUGAGCUGUGAAACUGGAGUCAGAUUUAAGGCAAGUAUCCUAUACCCUUCUUUUGGAUAUCUUGCGAUUAUUCUGAUCCAUUCUUUUCGUAUGUGUUGCAAAUAUUCGUUCUUCUCUUUUUCAUAUUUGAAACUGUAAAUAUUUUAUCCAUCCUUUUCUAAUCCUCAAAAAAUACAGAUAAUUCCAGUUUUACAAAUUAAUUCGAAGUUCAGAUUGUCAUUGAAGCAUGUGUUGCUCAGUGAUGGUUAGAACCUAGAAUGACUUGGGAUCUUCUUGAUUAUUCAACCCGCCAUUGUCAUGCUGGUUUAGCAGGCUAAAUUCAGUUGCUUAGCCGAUAAUGGAGGAUACUGAAUAGUUAAGGAUUUCCUGAACUAUGAUUUAUGAAAGGAUGGACUCUGGUUUAUGAAAAGUUGAUUAUCAAAGUUUGAUUUGGAAUUAUUCUAUCAUUGAUAUUGAUUGUGUUUAUGUUCUGUUGUUAUACGUUGACCUGUUAUUGAAUUAUAGAAUUGGAUUAUUGUUUUUAUAUAAACCUGUGGACCAGAUUCGUGGUCAUGUUAGGCCAAUGAGUGCCUUGGAUCCAGUGAUAGAGCAUGGCGGGGCCUGCUCGGGGUUAGUGCGGAACUGAUCAGCUGCCUAACCUUGGUUUUAAUUAAAAUGUGAUAGUCCAAUUCAAUAAUUCUUUGGAAAGAUUGAAUUUCUCAGUUUAAAUGCUGCAAGGUAUUGUAAAUCAUUCUAUACAAUACCAUGAACUCAUGAACUCAGGUUGAAUCCUCUUAUAUCUUGAACUCGUGAACUUCUGUUAUAUCAUUUCAGAACUAUCAUUGUUUAUUAUUACUUGCUGAGCAUUGUUGCUCACCCUUGCUAUUCCUUUCUAACCAUUUCAGAAAGGCUUAAAGAUGAGAUGAUUGAUUGAGAUUGUGAAUAAGGCUAAUGCUAGGCGAGGAGACAGAGUUGAGGAUCCAGUGGUCGAGGAGUGUUCAGGAAAGUUGAUGAGGUUGGUGCAAGCUAGAGCUGUG
rnacentral:lncRNA from 1 species